rnacentral:tRNA from 1 species
UUAAUUGAAACCAAAAAAAAGAGGUAUAUCACUGUUAAUGAUAAAAUUGAAAGCUACUCCAAUUAAU